AAAACACAAUUGAACGCUGGCGGCAGGCCUAACACAUGCAAGUCGAGCGGUAGAGAGAAGCUUGCUUCUCUUGAGAGCGGCGGACGGGUGAGUAAUGCCUAGGAAUCUGCCUGGUAGUGGGGGAUAACGUUCGGAAACGGACGCUAAUACCGCAUACGUCCUACGGGAGAAAGCAGGGGACCUUCGGGCCUUGCGCUAUCAGAUGAGCCUAGGUCGGAUUAGCUAGUUGGUGAGGUAAUGGCUCACCAAGGCGACGAUCCGUAACUGGUCUGAGAGGAUGAUCAGUCACACUGGAACUGAGACACGGUCCAG
rnacentral:rRNA from 1 species